UACGGAGGAUCCGAGCGUUAUCCGGAUUUGUUGGGUUUAAAGGGUGCGUAGGCGGUUUGAUAAGUUAGAGGUGAAAUGUCGGGGCUCAACCCCGAAACUGCCUCUAAUACUGUUGGACUAGAGAAUAGUUGCGGUAGGCGGAAUGUAUGGUGUAGCGGUGAAAUGCUUAGAGAUCAUACAGAACACCGAUUGCGAAGGCAGCUUACCAAACUAUAUCUGACGUUGAGGCACGAAAGCGUGGGUAGCAAACAGG
rnacentral:rRNA from 1 species